AAGAACAUGAAUCCCUGACUGGUGAAGGCCUGCUUCCUGAUGGUUCAGUUACCUGAACAGGCCUGGAUAUAGAUGACUGUGGUGCACAGUUUUCGAGUGGUGACUGUCUGGUAGAAAAAGCUUAAACUCUUCCCUCCAACAAGAAACGAGAUGCAGUAACACAGAUGAGAGCAACAGUGCAGCAGUAAUAUUCGUGUCAUUUCCUCUCUAAGUGUUAAGAUUAUGCAAGUAAGGAAAGUAAAAAGCCUACAGUGAAAAUGUAA